rnacentral:lncRNA from 1 species
CCCCUGGGAAAACCCCUGCUGUAUUAUGACACCACAGCAGUUGAUAUGAAAGGUUAACCCAACCCCUUCACCUCUCAAAGGCCCAGUGUCCUAUGUGCUUGAGUAACCUCCUUGCUGACUCGCCUAUGUCCAACACCACAGAAAGCAAGCCAGUCCCACCAGGUCUGAACUGUAUACUAUAUCCUUGGCGAAUAGUGGAGAUGGAGGAGAAAAAAAGUAGAAGAUGCCAGAGUGCCCAGCCUACUUUACCCACCACUGUCUUACACAGAAUCUGAACAUCAAAUAGGUCACCUUUGAAAUUGGAAAGUAGAUUAGAUUUGAAAUGAGAAGAAUAUCCUUGCUGGCAGAGGAUCAUCCAGGAGGAAAGGACAACAGUGUCCACCAUCGCUGAACACUGUUGGCUGAUCUGUCCAAUCCAAACCUCUUCGAAUACUCCCUAUCAAUUUCAACCUUGCGGAAAACCAACAGAAUAAAAACUAAAAUCAAAGCAGCAAAAGGGAAAUAAUAAGACUUCUGUAAGUUCACUGAAAGUAUGCUUUUCUGAAUCCUGCUGAUCACACAACACCGUCCUCGGGCUAAAGAGAAGCGGACUUGCUCCUUACCCUUGUGGAACAUGCAGAACACAGGAGAGAAGCACCGAACCAUCACCAAUGUUCUGAGUUUUGCUAUAGGACCACACUGCUGAGGACACACAUUAAUCAAGAAGAACAUGUGCAGGCAAGCAGACGCAGCUCAGGCAAAGCAGAAUGGAAGACCCUUUUAGGAAGAAGAAACAAUAUUUGAAGGCUAGAGUUUAUAACCGGCCUAUAUAUGAAGGGUCUGGUGCUUCCUAUUAGCAAUGCAGAGAAUCCCUACUGGGUCCAAUAGUGGAGUUUCUUUUCCGGGAGACCAAAGGGAGCUUCAGGAGUGAUGACCAUCUGGGAGAGGGGGCUUCUCACAGAGGAGAUGCAUCCUCUGUACUGCAAAUAUAGGCGCUGGGCUUAGAUGCCCUCUACCCGGUUAAGCUCCUGUGAAGGUUUCUUCCUCUCCUCUCUCUGAACAAACAGAGAAAAGAGCAAGCUGCUUUACAACCUGCACGUCUCACGUAGUCACCACUGAUUUUUUUUUCAGGCCUUAGGAAUGGGGGCAUUCAUUUCUGCUUACUUUCUGUUUUCGAGUCUUGAGUCCUAUGGAAAUGUAGACAAAUUAAUUAAGAUUAUCAAAUGUAUCAACCACCUAACGGCCA